rnacentral:rRNA from 1 species
GACGAACGCUGGCGGCGUGCCUAAUACAUGCAAGUCGAGCGAACAGACGAGGCUCUUGCUCCUCUGAUGUUUGCGGCGGACGGGUGUGAAACACGUGUAAACCCCAUCUUUAAUACUGGUAUAACUCGGGGAAACCGGCUCUAAUACGGGAUAAUAUAUUGAACCGCAUGGUUUAAUAGGGAAGGACGGUUUUGGUGUCACUUAUGGAUGCGUCCGUGCCGCAUUAGCUUGUUGGUAUGGUAACGGCUUACCAAGGCAACUAUGCGUAGCCGACCUGAGAGGGUGAUCGGCCGCACGGGAACUGAGACACGGUCCAGACGCCUAGGGGAGGCAGCAGUAGGGAAUCUUGCGCAAUGGGCGAAAGCCUGACGGAGCAACGCCGCGUGAGUGAUGAAGGUCUUCGGAUCGUAAAACUCUGUUAUUAGGGAGGAACAAAUGUGUAAGUAACUAUGCACGUCUUGACGGUACCUAAUCAGAAAGCCACGGCUAACUACGUG